ensembl:lncRNA
AGUGAGUGAGUGAGUGAGUGAGUGAGUGAAUGAGUGAGUUGGUGAGUCAGUGAGUGAGUGAGUGAGUGAGUGAAUGAGUGAGUCGGUGAGUCAGUGAGUGAGUGAGUCAGUGAGUGAGUGAGUGAGUGAAUGAGUGAGUGAGUGAGUCGGUGAGUCUGUGAGUGAGUGAGUGAGUCAGUUUGUGAGUGAGUGAGUGAGUGAAUGAGUCAGUGAGUGAGUGAGUGAGUGAGUGAGUCAGUGAGUGAGUGAGUGAAUGAGUGAGUGAGUCAGUGAGUGAGUGAGUGAGUCAGUGAGUGAGUCAGUGAGUGAGUGAGUAGUGAGUCAGUGAGUGAGUGAAUGAGUCAGUGAGUGAGUCAGUGAGUGAGUGAUGUCACUGAGUGAGUGAGCGAGUCAGUGAGUGAGUGAGUGAGUGAAUGAGUGAGUCAGUGAGUGAGUCAGUGAGUGAGUGAGUGAGUCAGUGAGUGAGUGAAUGAGUGAGUGAUUGAAUGAGUCAGUCAGUGAGUGAGUGAGUGAGUGAGUCAGUGAGUGAGUGAGUGAGUGAGUCAGUGAGGGAGGGAGUGAGUCAGUGAGUGAGUGAGCGAGGCAGUGAGUGAGUGAGUCAGUGAGUGAGUCAGUGAAUGAGUCAGUGAGUGAGUGAGUGAGUCAGUCAGUGAGUGAGUGAGUGAGUCAGUGAGUGAGUCAGUGAGUGAGUGAGGGAGUGAGUGAGUGAAUGAGUCAGUGAGUGAGUCAGUGAGUCAGUGAGUGAGUGAAUGAGUGAAUGUCAGUGAGUGAGUGAUCGGUCAGAUGAGUGAG